UGGAAAAGACAGAGAGUAGCGUGAGAUGUGGAAUCCACGGAUAAGGAGGGCCGAUUGUGCUCUAAGAUGAUUGUUAUAAGGCACACUCACCAACGCUUGAGGCAAUCGAGGUUAUACAGUCACCGUUGCAGAACUGAAAGCGGAGAAAUUCAGAACU